rnacentral:lncRNA from 1 species
AAAAGUCUUGGUGUGGAGCCCAUUAACUAUUCAUUACUAUUCAUUUGGAGACUUUGGUAGAGUUUGUCUGUCACGGGUGAAUAGUGAAUUACUAUUCAUUUGGAGACUUUGGUAGAGUUUGUCUGUCACAGGUGAAUAGUGAAUAGUGAUUAUUUCAGCCUAUAAAUAAGACCACCAUCAGAGAAAGAAAAAAAUAAGAAAAGAAGAAAAAGAAAAGAGAGAAGAGAAAGCAGAGAGAAAUUCUCCUAGAGAGAAAAUUCAGUGAGCCACAUAUGUUGUAAACACUAAAGUUGUAGCCAUAUCAUUUUAUAGUGAAAGGUUACUGCUGCUGCUCUCCGAGGACGUAGGCAUAGCCGAACCUCGUUAAAAGCAGUGUCUCAUCUAUUUUACGUGCAGCUCAAUAUCCGCAUAUAUUCCAGGUUAUUUUAUAACACGUUAUCAGCACGAAAGUCUCUCCUUUUAUUUCUGAAAUUUUUCCAACUCAACACUAUGUGGUUACUUCUCUGUCUCCUCUCUGUCAUAUGUCUACUCUCACUUUACUACUACAACGACAUGCAAACUUUCCUUUUUGUGUUCUCACAAUUUCUCUGUUGUUUAAUCCAUGCUUGUUUAAUUCACUUCUUUGUAACGUAAUUUCUAUGUUGUUUAAUCAGUCCUGUUAUUUUAUGGUGGUGUAAUUUUUUACCCAUCGCGUUGUAAUACAAAUUAUUGUAAUAAAAUGAUGGUGUGAUCUUAAAACUCAUCUAUUAUAUCUUGAAUAGUGGCGCAGUUAUAUUGCCCACACUAUAUAAUAUAUUAUGCACUUCAUAUUAGGUGGAGGUUUUUAUCCCCACAUUUAUUUUAUUUAUGGUAUGGUGUAGGUUUAUUACCCAUACGGCAAUAUUUAUUUAAAGGGUGGUGCGGGUUUAUCGUCCACGCCUUUACUUUUAUUUAAAUGUAUGGAGCAGAAUUAAUGCCCAUACAAGCACCUUUACUUUAUGAAAUUUACUUUAUCACAAAUUUACUUUUUCUUAAAGUAUGAUGAGGAAUUGACCCUCAUACUUUAUGAAAUUAACUUUAUGAAUUUAAUUUACCGCACAUUUAAGGUAUGGUGCGGGUUUAUCGUCCAUACCAGCAAAUUCAUAACACUUUAUUUAUCAUCAAUUAAUAUACCUGAAUAAUAAGGACCUAGAGUUCCUUAAUAAUGUAACAGUACCGUAUUGGUUCAUAGUGCCGUACACAUGGAUGAUAACUGUACUGGCAGAUGUACUGUACACAUGAAUAGAUACGUAUUCAUGACUUGAUGAAUAGUACUAUUCACAUGAAUAGUGACGUAUGCAUAAAUAUUAACCAUUUUGGGUAAACCGUCACUAUAUACAAAAGGGAACCUGCAGUUGUUUGGGCCCAAAAUUCGGCACACCCAAAACCAAGAGAUAAGCCCAUGAUGAAAUUGCCUGCCCAGCCCGAAAACUUGAGAAAAACAAAAUAGGAUCCAGACAGAUUGGGCUUCACACCAAGAAUGUUGAAAACAAAGCUUCAGCCCAAAGAAAGGCCCAAAGAGGAAACUGACAAGAUGAGCUUCAAAAGAUCAGCCCAUGAAUUAUUGAUUAGGUUCAGACCCAAGGGAUCAAAAACACACCCACGUGAUUGCCUCAGCUUUAGAAAAGUCAGCAAUACCGACUGAAAUUUAAAAAUAUGAAAGGGACGUCUCUGAAACACUGCCAAUUGAAGAUCAAAAAACCCAUCUAUGUUUAAGAUUUUGCUCCAAAUCGAUGCACCACCCCCCCAGGGAUUCACGGAUCACGCUUUCUAAAUUAGAACGGAAAAUAGGGAACCAUUCAGAAAAUAUAAAAGAAAAAGCCAAACCGCCAUAAAAAGCCUACACAGAUGGUGGCGGUGGUUUGAAUUAGAAACUGCCACCCAGGAAACCAGGGAAGGGACUGCUUUAGGAGAUGACUGCUCAGAACCUAUCUGUCUUGAUUGAUAAGAAAUCCUUCUUACUUUAUAUUAUAAGAGAUCUUUUUGCCGCCCAUUAUUUAGGAUUAAAAAUCACCUCCCCAGGAGGGCCUCUUAUAAAAACGAAAGUAGGCAAAGGAACAAAGGACACUCAAUGCAUCAAUCAAUCAAAAAAAAACAAACAAGAAAAAGCUCACUUGGAUCCAAAGAAAACCAGCUUUAGAUCAGAAUUCCGAAGUUCAGACUUAGAAAAUAAGUCCUCUGAAAGCGAGAUCCCUCUCGUUACAAGUUUGGUUCAGCAACAGCCAAGACAAACACAGUUUGAGUUUUCACAAAUAUGAAAACCUCAACAAAUUUUAUAGCAUAGUUCCAGCUUGCUGAAUACGAAUAGCCACUUCUGUCCCUUCAAACUGAAGAAGUCGCAGUUCUGCCCGCUCAAAAGUCUCCCAAGGCUUGAAGUAGAUUGAAGCUCUGCCAAAAUUGAACUUUGGUAUCGAUUUACAGCUGAAGCCAAGCAGCUAAAGUUGUCGACAGUACAGUCCAGCGUAGACAUGCCCAGUCCAGCCCGGAUUAGAAGUUUCCACCCAGGCAGAAAUGGAGUUUCAGCCAUCUUUUUGCCUUUCUAGAGUCGGUUUCUCCCUGCUUAAUUUUGUAAAAGGGAGUUCUGCCUGAAAAUAGUACUUUAUUAUUAUCCAUUCUGGCCAGAACAACCAUUUGAUACUGAGAUAAAUUAUGAAAGUCCUCACCAGUCUGAGGCAAGAAAAGAACUUACUUGGUAGAUAUUCCUCACCCAAAUUCACAAUCGUUUUGUUUUAGAAGCCAGUAACUUGAGGCGCAAGUUAUCCACUUUCAAAAUAAGUCUGCUAGAAUCUACAUUGCUAGCAGUGGCACGCUCACACACCAAAGAAAGCUGACUUGUCGACCAGCAAGUGGUCUUCAAGCCAGUGGGGAACUUCGCCCUUCCACAUCAGGAGUUAAACACGAACACGGGUGAACAGCAGUUCCUUAAACUCAUGGAUGAGCAAUUAAAUGAGAUCCCAGAAGUUCCUCAAAAUAUGGACAAUUAUGUAAGGGCUUGAAGUCCCGAAAUAUGUACAGAAAAUUGUAAAAAUGUCCAUACCAUGAGAAUAUUUGAUUUUGGCCCGAAGUUCAAAAUCUAAGGGGAUUGAAUGUCCAUACCAUGAGAAUAUGUGAUUUUGGCCUGAAGUUCAAAAUCUAACAGUGUUGAGAACCUAAAGUUCCAACAAUUAAAUGGACAACCCUUGAGGUAUUAUUGCAAAUUGUGGUAUGCCACAUAUUUCUUUGGCAUAAGAAGAUGAUAAAUUUAAUAAAGUUCGAUUUUGUCGACACCUCAAGGAAGAAAUAUAUUUUGUGAAUUCCGGUUGUUAAGAAUACACCGCGAAAUGGAUAAUAUCAAUAUAAACCUCAAAUAAUGAAUUGAGGCUCUCCACAUAUUUUAUUAUAUCUGGGCCGGAAGCCCAUGGAUCAAAAUAUAUGAGAGAUCCUGAACUUGAAGUUGUGGGUAUAUAGUAGUUAAUGCUCUUCACUACUAUAUUGCGAUAUUAUUGUGGCUUUUACUCACUUCAUAUUUCAUGUCCAUUUGAAAAAGGGCAAAUAAAUUCUGAGUUUUGUGUUUAGCCCAAGCCAAAAGUUCCGGGCUCACAUGCAUGGAAAUAUGUAAUUUGAGAGAUUUGAUGUGGUUAUUUGAACCUAUAAGGCACAAGGUUCCAAACCGUCAUUUUGAAAAGACGUAAAAACCACAGGUGUAAGUUUAAGAAUGUGCGCAAUUAUUAUAAUAGGAAAGGAGCAUAUAACAGAUAGAUUUUUCCACCUGCAAUGAAGGUGCAGGCCCUGUAAAAUCUAUAAAAUUACAUUAUGUUCUGGAAGCCUCUGAAGGAAGAGGACGGCGCCUCUUAAGCUUAGCCAUGAGCUUCUCGUGGUCUCCCAAAAUUCAUUCAUUGGAGACCUGCAGCAUGUCUAGCCUUCUCAGUGUAUCAACUGAGUACGAACUCACCAGUUUCAACAAGGAAUUAUUCUCUCCUUUAAGUUUCUCAACCUCCUGUUGAGACUCAUGAAGCAUUCUUUGGAGAGACGAAUUUUCAGUUGUCAGCUUCUCAACCUCGUUUGCUCUAGCACGCAAACGAUCAGCCAUGUUAGAAACAGAAGCAGCACUCUGAAUGCUAAAAGCCAUUGAGUCAUCAAUAGCCUCUUCCUCAGACCUCCCUGUUAACAGCAUUUCAUCCAUCGGAGUAAUGAAAUUCCUAGCUACUAUGACAGCAGUAGCAUCAUUCAUCAUCACAGAAUCAUUAACUGUGAGAUGACGAUUUUGGGAUACAAAGGAUGGACGCCAAACUUUGGCGUCACUGGUUGUUGUGGGAGCAUCAUUUAAAUUGAAAUAAUUUGGGCAGGAAGAAGAGGAAGCCAUUUUUUUUUAAGAAGGUUUCAGGAAAACUAAAGUUUCAGAAAAUGAAGAAAUUUGAGUUGAAACGCAGUUGCUCCAAUCAAGUUUUGCAAAGGCCAUAUCUAUAGGAGGAAAUAUGGCUACUGUUUUUCAGGACCCCAAUAUCUUCUCGAAUCCCCAUAUUAUCUUUUUCUUUCCCAGAGUCCAAAACUUCACGUGGCCUCUAAUAAUGCCUGUCGGCACUUUCGGCAUUUUCAAGUAUUAUUUUCAAAGCCGAUCUUGAUUUACGGAUUUCACGGAGCUACUUUUUCAAAAGAAUCCCGAGAAUCUCGCAAUUUUCCUAUGGUUAAUUUGAAAUUCACCGGUUCUACCUAUUCAUUGUAUUUGUGUAUAAAUGUGUUACUAACGAAAUUUUCUUUGCAGAAGACAUCCAGUUUACUCCAUACCUAGUGAUGCGAUAUCUACUUGUUUUUCUUAUCAGUAAGCACUCAAUAUGCCCGAGAAGCAAGACUAUCUCUGAUCAUCCAUUCAGGAAGCGAGACUAUCCCUGAUCACGUUUCCGCUGCAUUAGGAAACUGUGAAGGCGAUCUUAUGCUCUAAUCUCCGGAAGUCCUUCUAGACUAGGAGAUAUGAGAGCUUAUUGUCUGCUCCCACCAGCUUCCUUCCCUGAUUGCUUACCUUCUCUUGCAAUCAAUAUCACAUUAUUUUUGCAUUUUUUCUCUUUUUAUAACUCUCUGUUCAUAAGAGAUUUUAUUUCUUUAGAAUGAACAUCUGAAGAAUGAAUCCAUGCAGUGAUUCUAACUCUGAGAGUUAUUUGUUUUUGACAGAGAAGAGAAUUGUGAUUUUUGCUCUUGCAGGAUAUAACAAGAUCAUCAAGCAAUACUUUAUAUUUACUGGGCCGAUACGAGCUUGAAUGAUACUUGAGAAAAGUUUCUCCCACCUAAGGAUGUAAGCAAUACUUGUGUUAUUUUAUGCUUAUAUACCUAUUUGAUAUUUUAUCUUGAAAGGUAACCAAAUGGGGAGAUAAGUCCGUUCCAAAAGAAUGGCUUGUAUGUAUCCAUGAAUUAUUAACGCAAAUUUUACAGAUUGCAAGUUGGAUACAUUGAUAAUACACUGCACAAAUUAAAGUCCCAUAAGAACAAAAUAUGGGUAUAGCAGUAAUCAAUAUGAUGCACGCCUGCUGCGUAGCAAAUGAUGUGGAUUGAAGUCCCGAAAGGACAAUCCUUUGACAUGUCAAUAUUGAUAUUAUGCACGCCUAAUGCGUAGCAAAUUAUAUGGGUUAAAGUCCCAUAAAUUAAUUGACAUGUAUGUAUUAAUCUGUGGCAUGCCUGCAGCAUGACAGAUAUAUGGGUUCUAAAUGUUCCAACUCCCUAAAUGGAGAUUAUCCACGCCCUACUGAAAUGCUUAUAAUUGAUGUAUGCGCAUGCAAAUGAGAAUGGUGGGAUCAUAAAUUGAUGAAUGACAAAUUUUUGGAGUAGCUACUCAAAUCAUCAAUGGGCUGUGUUGAUUGGGACCACGUUCAAUUAUUAAAUGUCGACAAUAUCAUUGGCCAAAAUGGAAAGAGGUAAUUCCAUUAUAGAUAAGAAUGAACGUGAAAGAACAAACCCACAGUACGAACCCCAAAUUUGUCAAUACUGAAAGUUAUACUUGGGUGUUCGGAAUAAAAGGGAAUAUACCUACUUUGUAUGACAUAAUGUUUCUGGCAGAAACAAGGAAUGUUGGGUUUUCUCCAUAUUUACAGAUUCAAUUGUGCCCCCCUUAUUACACAAUUACGGAGACCAACAUAUUAUCUUUAAGGGUUAUUAAAUGCACGGAGCAUAUCGCUAGAAGCGAUUUCCUAAAGAUGUAUAAAUAGCUGGGUAAAAGCUAUAUAAUGUGUCAUAAAGUUUAAUCCCUUUUAGACAAAAUCCGUUGAGAGGAUUGACAUUACAUAAAGCAAGUCCCUAAAGGACAUGUGCUUGAAGCACAAAAUUUGUACUCAAUUUUAAUAUGCAUAAAUUACCUCAGUGAGUACAUUGAUUAUAAUGUGAUUGCAACACAUUAAAACUUCUGCAGAAUUCACGAAAUAUUUAUCUCGACUUAAAAAUCGAGCAUUAUGCCAACGAGAUUCUUGCUUAUACUGAGAAAGUAUUGAAACGGUUUGGCAUGGAUAAAGCCCAUCCACUUAGCACUCCAAUGGUCGUUCGAUCGCUUGACACUAAGAAAGACCCAUAUCGUCCAAAAGGGGAUGAUGAAAUGGUCCUUGGUCCAGAAGUACCAUAUCUUAGUGCAAUAGGUGCUUUAUUGUACCUAGCACAAUGUACCAGACCAGACAUAUCAUUCUCAGUAAAUCUGUUAGCAAGGUACAGUUCUGCUCCAACAAGGCGACACUGGACCGGCAUCAAACAUGUUCUACGAUACCUUCGUGGGACAACAGACAUGGGGUUAUUCUAUUCCAGUGAAUCGACCAACGCCCAGAGUAUUAUUGGUUAUGCUGAUGCAGGAUAUCUCUCUUAUCCACAUCAAGGACGAUCACAGACUGGGUAUGUAUUUACAUGUGGAGGAACUGCGAUCUCAUGGCGCUCAACAAAACAAACAUUAGUGGCCACAUCUUCCAAUCACUCAGAAAUACUUGCCCUCCAUGAAGCCAGUCGUGAAUGCGUUUGGUUAAGAUCGGUAAUCCAUCACAUCUGAAGCACAUGUGCCCUACCCUCAACAACAGACACUCCAACAAUUCUGAAUGAGGACAAUGCAGCUUGUAUUGCUCAGAUCACAGGAGGAUAUAUCAAGGGUGACAGGACCAAACACAUAUCACCAAAGUUUUUCUAUACACAUGAACUCCAGAAGAGUCAAGAAAUCAAAGUCAGACAAAUCCGCUCAAGUGAUAACCUGACAGAUCUCUUCACUAAAUCAUUGCCGAAAUGUACAUUCCAAAAGUUAGUGCAUGGCAUCGGAUUACGACAACUCUGCAAGCAAUCAAGUUGGAGCAUGCAAAAUCAGGGGGAGCAUUCAAGAGUCCUCUAACAUAGGACAUAUGCACGUUGUACUCUUUUUCCUUCGCUUAGAUUUUUCCACUGGGUUUUUCCAAGCAAGGUUUUAAUGAGGCAACCAAUCUAGGGACAUGUGGUCUCCAAGGGGGAGUGUUGUAAAAGUCUUGGUGUGGAUCCCACUAACUAUUCAUUACUAUUCAUUUGGAGACUUUGGUAGAGUUUGUCUGUCACGGGUGAAUAGUGAAUUACUAUUCAUUUGGAGACUUUGGUAGAGUUUGUCUGUCACGGGUGAAUAGUGAAUAGUGAUUAUUUCAGCCUAUAAAUAAGACCACCAUCAGAGAAAGAAAAAAUAAGAAAAGAAGAAAAAGAAAAGAGAGAAGAGAAAGCAGAGAGAAAUUCUCUUAGAGAGAAAAUUCAGUGAGCCACAUAUGUUGUAAACACUAAAGUUGUAGCCAUAUCAUUUUAUAGUGAAAGGUUACUGCUGCUGCUCUCCGAGGACGUAGGCAUAGCCGAACCUCGUUAAAAGUUGUGUCUCAUCUAUUUUACGUGCAGCUCAAUAUCCGCAUAUAUUCCAG